AAACCAAACACAUUUUGCCUCUCCUUUUUGUUAAAACCUGCAAGUGAUGGACUGAUAGCGUAGACUCAGCUAAAGACUGGUUACAUCAAAAAAGAAGAUGAAUAAAGAGAGGGUUGGACUUCGUUCAAGGCAACAACACCACACAAGCCCUGAAGUGAAGAACAAGCAACCGAGGAAAAUAGCCGGCGAAGGCCAACGGAAACGUACUCCGUACUCCAACGAAUGCCCCCACCACAGAUUUGGCAAGGCAACACGCAAAUUCAAACAAAAAGUAACACAAGCAUAUUCUUUGUGCGAGUAGUGAAAAUUCCAGACCUGCCACCUCACUGUACGUGCGGCCAGGCUCCGCCGCACGUGCGGUUCACCACAGCUCGAGCGGCCCACCUAGGAUUGCAUGCGCAGAAUUACAAGUUUGUUCUGUUGGGAAUAA